rnacentral:rRNA from 1 species
CCUUGAGUCAAGCGAGAUUACCAGCUGAGUUUAAGCAUAUCAAUAAGUGGAGGAAAAAUAACUUACCAAGAUUCCCUUAUUAAUGGCAAGUGAAUUGGAAGAGCCUAGCUUGAUAAUCUAGUGCCCCGGGCAUCCAAAUUAUAGUCUAGAGAAGUAUUUUUAGUGACAGACUGAAUUAAGUCCCCUAGAAAGGGGCACCAGAGAGGGUGAGAACCCCACUGUGCUUGGACCAUAUUGCACCAUAAAGUGUUGUUUACGAGUUAAGUUGUUUAGGAAUGCAGCCCUAAUGGGUGGUAAAUUCCAUCUAAGGCUAAAUAUGAGCAGGAGAUUGAUAGUGAACAAGUACCAUGAGGGAAAGAUGAAAAGGACAUUGAAAGAAGCAUUAAAGAGUGCUUGAAAUUAUCAAAAAGAAAGUGGAUAGGGGCUGGUGAUAUGCCCCGAUCAGAUGUGGAAUGAUGAGAGCCAAUCCGUCGAUUAGCUUAGGGCAUGAAUCGAUGCAAGUCACAAUAGUAGCUCAAGUCCAAGCAUUUGAUAUUUCAGCAAAGAUGUCAUCACCAGGAUCAUGGAAUGCCUCCCGUACUGUCUUGGUGUGCCUCGACACAUGCAUGGUCCUAGUGUCUGCCUACGGGCUCAACCCAUCUUCAAACACAAACCAAGGAGUUUGACAUGUGUGUGAAUCAAUAGGCUUGGAAACCUAUAAGUCACAAGGAAGUUGAUUGGUGGGAUCCCUCGUGGGUGCACCAUUGAUUGACCUUGAUCUUUUGAAAUGAGUUCAAGUGUGAGCAUGCCUGUCGGGACCUGAAAGAUGCUAAACUAUGCUUAAGUAGGGUGAAGCUAGAGGAAACUCUGCUGGAGAACCAUAGCGAUACUAAUAUGCAAAUCAUUUGUCUGACUCGGGUAUAGGCAUGGAAGACUAAUCAAACUAUCUAGUAGCUAGUUCCUUUUAAAGUUUCUCUCAAGAUAGCCAGAGCCCUUAGUGAGUUUUACUAGGUAAAGCCAAUGAUUAAAGGCAUUGGGGGUGUAAUCCACUCAACCUAUUUUCAAACUUUAAAUUGGUAGGAUGACAAGGCUACUUCAUUGAGCCACACCAUAGAAUCGAAAGCUCUAAGUGGGUCGUUAUUGGUAAAUAGAAUUGGUAAUGCAGGAUGAAUCAAAAGUCAAAUUAUGGUGCCCAACUAUACACUAACCUAGGACCCACAAAGGGUGUUGGUUAAUUAAGAUAGUAGGACAUUGGUCAUGGAAGUCAAAAUCCACUAAGGAGUAUGUAACAACUCACCUACCAAAUCAACUAGCCUUAAAAAUGGCCGGGGCUUAAGCAUGUGACCCAUACUCGGUCGUUGGGGCAAGGGCUAGGCUCCAAUGAGUAGAAGGAUGCAGCGAUAAUCCUAAAACUUGAGGCAUGAGCCCAAGUGGAGCAAUCAUCAAUGCAAAUCUUGGUGGUUGUAGCAAAUAUUCAAAUGAGAACAUUGAAGGCCAAAAAGGGGAUAGGUUCUAUGUAAACAGCACUUGCACAUGGGUUAGUUGAUCCUAAAAGAUGAGGGAAGCCUAUCUGAUAGUGCGUCAUGUGCAAGCUUCAAGAGGGAAUCGGGUUAAAAUUCCUAAACCAAGACACGAUAGUUUAUGGCAACAUAAGAGAGUCUAGAGACAUCAAUAAGGGCCUUAAUAAAAGUUAUCUUUUCUGUUUAAUUACCUACCUAAGUUGGAAAUGGCUCAAGAAAAGGUAAGGUCUAGUGAUCAAAAGAGAACACACAUCACAUGGUAUCCAAUGUGCCCUAGUGACCCUUGAAAAUCCAAAGGAUUCAAUGCCAUCUACUCUCGAUUGUACUCAUAACUGCAUUAGGUCUCCAAGGUGAACAACCUUUGGUUGAUGGAAUAAUGUAGGCAAGGAAAGUCAGCAAAAUGGAUCCAUUACUUACAGAAAAAAGUUGGCUAUAAGGGUUGGGCAUGGGGUCCCUACUCCCAAACUGUUUGUUGCUAGUGCAUUGCUUUAGCUGGCUCCUACAGUGAGAGCAGAUUGCCUUAUGCCAAUCGAGGAAUAGCCUGGGAAUGGCUGCCUCAAUGGCCUUCCUCAGGCAAUGAACAAUCAACUAAGAACUAGUAUAGACAAGGGAAAUUUGACUAUUUAAUUAAAACAAAGCAUUGUGAUGGUCCUUGUGGAUGCUUACGCAAUGUGAUUUUUGCCUAGUGCUUUAAAUGUCAAAGUGAAGAAAUACAACCAAGCACGGGUAAACAAUGAGAGUAACUAUGAAUCUUUUAAGGUAGCCAAAUGCCUUGUCAUCUAGUGAUACACAUGAAUGGAUUAAUGAGAUUCCCACUAUCCCAGUCUACUAUCUAGUGAAACCACAGCCAAAGGAAUAAGCUUGGCAGAAUCAGCUAGGAAAAAAGGCCUUAUUGAGCUUGACUCUAGUAUGAUUUUGUAAAAUGACAUGAGAGGUGUAGCAUAAGUGGAAGCCCUCGAGCGAAAUUGAAAUACCACUACUUUUAACAUUAUUUUACUUAUUCCAUGAAUCAGAGGUAGGGUAUGACCCCUUCUUUUAGACCUAAGGCUAGCCUUGGUGGGGAGUUUGGCUGGGGUGGCACAUCUAUUAAAAGAUAAUGUAGGUGUCCUACGAUGAACUUAAUGAGAAUAGAAAUCUCGUGAGGAACAAAAGGGUAAAAGCUCAUUUGAUUCUAAUUUUCAAUAGAAAUAUCAAUCCUUUAGACCUUCAAAAUUUUAAGUUAGAGGCAUAACAAAAGUUACUAUAGGGAUAACUAGCUUAUGGUAGCCAAGUGUUCAUAGCAACAAUGGUUUUUAAUCCUUUGAUGUUGGCUCUUCCUAUCAUUUUGAAGCAAAAUUCACCUCAUGUUGGAUUGUUCACCCACCAAUAGGGAACAAGAGCUAAGAUUAGACCAUUUUGAGACAUGUUAGUUUUACCCUAUUAAUGGCAGUGUCACAUUAGUAAUUCAACCUAGUACGAAAUGAAUCGUUGAUUCACAUAAUUAGUCAUCACGUUUGGCUGAAAAGCCAAUGGUGCAAAGCUACCGUGUGCUAGAUUAUGAAUGCCUUUAAGUCAAAAUCCAAGUUAAAAGUGACACACGCACUCAUUGCCUAAUUGCCAACACAUAAUAGGGGCCUGUGGUCCCAAAGAGCAUGUUAAGGUGCAGCCCCUACAACAAACUAGUUGCAUGGGCCUCUUCAGAGCUCAAUUUCGGCCAAGCUACAAGCAAAAUCC